UGGGGAAUAUUGGGCAAUGGGCGCAAGCCUGACCCAGCAACGCCGCGUGAAGGAAGAAGGCUUUCGGGUUGUAAACUUCUUUUCUUGGGGACGAAGCAAGUGACGGUACCCAAGGAAUAAGCCACGGCUAACUACGUGCCAGCAGCCGCGGUAAUACGUAGGUGGCAAGCGUUAUCCGGAUUUAUUGGGUGUAAAGGGUGUGUAGGCGGGAAUGCAAGUCAGAUGUGAAACUAUGGGCUCAACCCAUAGCCUGCAUUUGAAACUGUAUUUCUUGAGUGCUGGAGAGGCAAUCGGAAUUCCGUGUGUAGCGGUGAAAUGCGUAGAUAUUAGGAGGAACACCAGUGGCGAAGGCGGUCUGCUGGACAGCAACUGACGCUGAGGCGCGAAAGCGUGGGAAGCAAACAGGAUUAGAUACC
rnacentral:rRNA from 1 species